GGGUGCGAUCAUACCAGCACUAAUGCACCGGAUCCCAUCAGAAUUCCGCAGUUAGACGAGUUCGAGCCGAGCUUGAAGCUUACCGAGCCGAACUUUGUUCGAGUCGAGCUUU
rnacentral:rRNA from 1 species